GCGAAACGGCGAUGAACGUCCGCAAGCCCGAUUUUGGUCUACGGAACCGAAGGUCGGGAGUUCGAAUCUCUCCGGGCGCG
rnacentral:tRNA from 1 species